rnacentral:sRNA from 1 species
ACAAAAAAAGCAAAAAAAACA